rnacentral:rRNA from 1 species
CCCCCGGCUCANCCGGGGAGGGUCAUUGGAAACUGGGAGACUNGAGUGCAGAAGAGGAGAGUGGAANUCCAUGUAUAGCGGUGAAAUGCGUAGAUAUAUGGAGGAACNCCAGUGGCGAAGGCGGCUCUCUGGUNUGUAACUGACGCUGAGGCUCGAAAGCGUGGGGAGCGAACAGGAUUAGAUACCCUGGUAGUCCACGCCGUAAACGAUGAGUGCUAAGUGUUGGAGGGUUUCCGCCCUUCAGUGCUGCAGCAAACGCAUUAAGCACUCCGCCUGGGGAGUACGACCGCAAGGUUGAAACUCAAAGGAAUUGACGGGGGCCCGCACAAGCGGUGGAGCAUGUGGUUUAAUUCGAAGCAACGCGAAGAACCUUACCAGGUCUUGACAUCCUUUGACCACUCUAGAGAUAGAGCUUCCCCUUCGGGGGCAAAGUGACAGGUGGUGCAUGGUUGUCGUCAGCUCGUGUCGUGAGAUGUUGGGUUAAGUCCCGCAACGAGCGCAACCCUUAUUGUUAGUUGCCAUCAUUUAGUUGGGCACUCUAGCGAGACUGCCGGUGACAAACCGGAGGAAGGUGGGGAUGACGUCAAAUCAUCAUGCCCCUUAUGACCUGGGCUACACACGUGCUACGAUGGGAAGUACAACGAGUUGCGAAGUCGCGAGGCUAAGCUAAUCUCUUAAAGCUUCUCUCAGUUCGGAUUGUAGGCUGCAACUCGCCUACAUGAAGCCGGAAUCGCUAGUAAUCGCGGAUCAGCACGCCGCGGUGAAUACGUUCCCGGGCCUUGUACACACCGCCCGUCACACCACGAGAGUUUGCAACACCCGAA